AUACGUAGGGAGCGAGCGUUGUCCGGAAUUACUGGGCGUAAAGGGCGCGUAGGCGGUUUGGCAAGUCACAUGUGAAAUACCCGGGCUCAACCCGGGGGGUGCAUGUGAAACUGCUAGACUUGAGUGCGGUAGAGGAAAGUGGAAUUCCUAGUGUAGCGGUGAAAUGCGUAGAUAUUAGGAGGAACACCAGUGGCGAAGGCGACUUACUGGACUGUAACUGACGCUGAGUCACGAAAGCGUGGGUAGC
rnacentral:rRNA from 1 species